GACGAACGCUGGCGGCGUGCUUAACACAUGCAAGUCGAACGGAAAGGCCCUGCUUUUGUGGGGUGCUCGAGUGGCGAAUGGGUGAGUAACACGUGAGUAACCUGCCCUUGACUUUGGGAUAACUUCAGGAAACUGGGGCUAAUACCGGAUAGGAGCUCCUGCUGCAUGGUGGGGGUUGGAAAGUUUCGGCGGUUGGGGAUGGACUCGCGGCUUAUCAGCUUGUUGGUGGGGUAGUGGCUUACCAAGGCUUUGACGGGUAGCCGGCCUGAGAGGGUGACCGGCCACAUUGGGACUGAGAUACGGCCCAGACUCCUACGGGAGGCAGCAGUGGGGAAUAUUGCACAAUGGGCGGAAGCCUGAUGCAGCAACGCCGCGUGCAGGAUGACGGCCUUCGGGUUGUAAACCGCUUUCGCCUGUGACGAAGCGUGAGUGACGGUAAUGGGUAAAGAAGCACCGGCUAACUACGUG
rnacentral:rRNA from 1 species